rnacentral:rRNA from 1 species
GUGGGGAAUAUUGGACAAUGGGGGGAACCCUGAUCCAGCCAUGCCGCGUGUGUGAAGAAGGCCUUUUGGUUGUAAAGCACUUUAAGCGAGGAGGAGGCUCCUUUAGUUAAUACCUAAAGAGAGUGGACGUUACUCGCAGAAUAAGCACCGGCUAACUCUGUGCCAGCAGCCGCGGUAAUACAGAGGGUGCAAGCGUUAAUCGGAUUUACUGGGCGUAAAGCGCGCGUAGGUGGCCAAUUAAGUCAAAUGUGAAAUCCCCGAGCUUAACUUGGGAAUUGCAUUCGAUACUGGUUGGCUAGAGUAUGGGAGAGGAUGGUAGAAUUCCAGGUGUAGCGGUGAAAUGCGUAGAGAUCUGGAGGAAUACCGAUGGCGAAGGCAGCCAUCUGGCCUAAUACUGACACUGAGGUGCGAAAGCAUGGGGAGCAAACAGGAUUAGAUACCCGUGUAGUCC